rnacentral:lncRNA from 1 species
CUUGGGAUGCUGCGAGCUGUGGAGGUGGGGGGCUUAUUCCCUUUCUCUGUGGCCCUCUGUGGGCCCCCCCCCCCCCCCCCACCCCCACAGCUGAGCUGGGUCCCUGCGUUUUUGCAGCUGUUUGGAAGGUACCUGCUGGAGCAGCAGCGCACAGACCUGAUGCCGACCUGCCUAUAGGUGGUGUCACAUGAGGUGCCUGAGGAGGACAAGCAGUGGGUCUCCUUGCUGAAUGCAGGGGGGGAGGACCCCAUUUGUCCCCUUUCCUGCCAUGUCCCACACUUUGUCAUCUUGGCAGGGAGAUGAAGUGAUGCCUGCUGUUUGGCAGAAGCUACUUGAGGGGCCAGUCCUCAUGACAUGCUGCUAUCCCCACUCUGUUGCUGUGAUGAUACUGUUCAUCUGCCCCAUGAGACAGAACUACCAAUCACACAGCCUCCCAAAAACCCCACAGAGCCCCCUCCAGGGCCCCUCAGUGCCCUGUCUGUGCCUGUAGAUCCUUGAUGGAGAGGGGGGAGGAGAUUUUCAGCAUGCCUUGGAUGACAAAGAAGCUCCUCAAUGAGAUUUGCCUGCUGCUGCAAAACAAUACCAUACGUGCGCACUUUGGGAUGACCGAGGACUACGAAAUCCUCCAGCUCAGCCUCAUGCAGACCCUGAGCCCCGAGGACCCCAUCCCCGCCGUGCUACAGGACGUGGAGUGCCUGAAGAGAUGCAUCAGGAACACCAACUUCCACCUGCUCUGGAUCGCACUCAAAGGGCUGGUGGCGAUGCUGGGGAGGCCCAAGAUGGGGCUAACGGGGAUUAUCCUGCUGCCCGACGUCCUGAAAACCCUGCGGUUCGGCAACCCCCACAUCACGGCGGCGGCGCUGGCGGUGUGCUGCAGGGUCCUGCGCGCCCUGAUGAACAAGUCGGCCAGCAUCACUUCCCUGUGGCUGGUCGAUCUGCUCACGCCUUACUUGGACAACGUAAGGGGGGGGGGGCGAGGCUCCUGCGGCACCCACCCCGUGCCACGGCUGGGCGGGCGAGGAUCACUCAGCCUCCGUCCUCCUCUUCCUCUUCCAGGAGGCCGACAUGGUGCGGGAGAAUGCCAUGAAGCUCUUCAGUGCGUGCAUGGAGCGCGUGCUGUGGAAGCACCGCAGAAAGAUGUGGAAGAAAGUGCACAAUGUCCUGCUGACCCUCUACCUCCGCAUGAGCGAGGAGAACCCAAGCGUGGCGCCCAUGGGGUGGGGGGGGCUCGCGGCAGGGCCGGAGGCAGGCGGUGAGGAGCCGGUGCCAAUUCCCUGCCUCCGCUGCCCCGCAGGCUGCCCAGGAAGCCCUGAGGGCUUGGUCUGAGCUGCUGUGGUGGGAUGAGCUGCAAGUGGUGGCACACAUGAACCAGACCCUGGGGAUCAGAACACGCCUGCCUGAUCCUUCGUGAGCUGCCCCCUGCUUGUCCUCCCCCUGCCCCCACAAUGGCCCCGGGGCCUCCCCGUGCCCUCCCUGGGGCGGAGGCUGACGGGCGGCUUCUGAUCGUAGGGCUCACGGCAGAACAUCACCGGGACCAGAGUGAAGAGAAAGUGUACGAAAUAAUUGCAAGUGAGUGAGGGGGGACGGGGUGGAGGCCAGGCCUCGG